rnacentral:misc_RNA from 1 species
GAAAUGCGAUAAGUAGUGUGAAUUGCAGAAUUCAGUGAAUCAUCGAAUCUUUGAACGCACAUUGCGCCCUAUGGUAUUCCGUAGGGCAUGCCUGUUCGAGCGUCAUUUACACCUUCAAGCCUUGCUUGGUGUUGGGUGACCGUGGCCCCUUUGGGGCCACUCGCCUUAAAGUCAUUGGCGGCCGGUUCGUUGGCUUUGUAGCGCAGCACAAUUGCGUCCUCGAAGCCGCUGGACCAGCUCCCAGAAGCUAAUUUUAAAUGUUUGACCUCGAAUCAGGUAGGGAUACCCGCUGAACUUAAGC